ensembl:lncRNA
UCUUAUAGAAAUGGAAUUUAUGCCAUCAUUUUCUAUGUAGGUUGCAUGGCAUCUGAUCCACAGUGGCAGGAAAAAAAAAAUGAUUCCAGAAUAUCUGCAGUGUAUUUUGCUGAAUGUUAACAGCAGGUUCAGAUGUGUUUCAGUUCUGACCUUGUGAAAUGCUUUCUUGCUUAUGCAACGCUUUAUACAUCAAAUGCACAAACUGCAACCAGGGCUUCAACUGCUCACACAAGGAUUCAUUUCUGAAAACAAAUGUUGUUCAGGACCCAAUCACAGACACACAUAAGAAAAUAUAUCAUCAAACAUUCAUAAAGUGAAUUGCAAGGAUGCUGAUUACAAGCUAACGGGUAAUAAUUUCCAUCUGGUUGUGUCUUGCACCUGCUUUACACCCCCAUUCUCAUCUUUCUCUUUGAGGAGGAACAUUUUUGCUUUUUCUUACAAGCGUGG